rnacentral:rRNA from 1 species
UACGAAGGGGGCUAGCGUUGUUCGGAAUCACUGGGCGUAAAGGGCGCGUAGGCGGCCUGCUAAGUCGGACGUGAAAUCCCCCGGCUCAACCGGGGAACUGCGUCCGAUACUGGUGGGCUCGAAUCCGGGAGAGGGAUGUGGAAUUCCGAGGUGUAGCGGUGAAAUGCGUAGAUAUCUGGAGGAACACCGGUGGCGAAGGCGGCAUCCUGGACCGGUAUUGACGCUGAGGCGCGAAAGCCAGGGGAGCAAAGCGGG